GCUUAGGUUUCUCGUCUUAGGACCAUCUGGGGUCAUUCGUACUCGUCCGCGAGAGGUGAAAUUCUUGGACCGGACGAAGACGAUCAGCAGCGAAAGCAUCUGUCAGGGAUGUUUUCUGCGACAAAGGACGAAGGUCGGGGUAUCGAAGACGAUUAGAUACCGUCGUAGUCCUGACUGUAAACUAUGCCGACUUGGGUCUUGCAGAGUAAAUACUUUGUGAGACCCACACAGAAAUGAAAGUGUAUGAGUUCUGGGGGUAGUAUGGACACAAGUCUGAAACUUGAAGGAAUUGACGGAAGAGCACCAUAAGACGUGGAGCUUGCGGCUUAAUUUGACUCAACGCGGGAAAACUUACCAGGUCAAGACAUGGGCGUGAUUGACAGGCUAAUGACCUUUCUCGAUUCCUUGGAUGGUGGUGCAUGGUCGCACUUAGUUGGUGCAGUGAUUUGUCAGGUUUAUUACGGUAACGAACGAGACCUCGGCCUUGUAACUAGUUUUACUGCUUACAGGGACAAUGUCGGCUACGUCAAGGAAGUUCGAGGCAAUUGCAGAUCUGGAAUGCCCUUAGAUGUCCUGGGUCGCACGCGUGCUACAAUGACGCCACGAGCGAGUUCAUGCGUUGAAAGACAUGUGAAAUCAGC
rnacentral:rRNA from 1 species